UUGUAGCCUGCUAUGGUAUAACUUAGUGGCAGACGGGUGAGUAAUAUAUAGGAAUCUACCUAGUAGUACGGAAUAAUUGUUGGAAGCGGCAACUAAUACCGUAUACGCCCUACGGGGGAAAAAUUUAUUGCUAUUAGAUGAGCCUAUAUUAGAUUAGCUAGUUGGUGGAGUAAUAGCCUACCAAGGCAAUGAUCUAUAGCUGAUCUGAGAGGAUGAUCAGCCACACUGGAACUGAGAUACGGUCCAGACUCCUACGGGAGGCAGCAGUGGGGAAUAUUGGACAAUGGGCGAAAGCCUGAUCCAGCCAUGCCGCAUGAGUGAAGAAGGCCUUUGGGUUGUAAAGCUCUUUUAGUGAGGAAGAUAAUGACGGUACUCACAGAAGAAGUCCUGGCUAACUCCGUGCCAGCAGCCGCGGUAAUACGGAGAGGGCUAGCGUUAUUCGGAAUUAUUGGGCGUAAAGGGCGCGUAGGCUGGUUAGUAAGUUAAAAGUGAAAUCCCGAGGCUUAACCUUGGAACUGCUUUUAAAACUGCUAACCUAGAGAUUGAAAGAGGAUAGAGGAAUUCCUAGUGUAGAGGUGAAAUUCGUAAAUAUUAGGAGGAACACCAGUGGCGAAGGCGUCUAUCUGGUUCAAAUCUGACGCUGAGGCGCGAAGGCGUGGGGAGCAAACAGGAUUAGAUGCCCUGGUAGUCCACGCUGUAAACGAUGAAUGUUAAAUAUGGGAAGUUUACUUUCCGUACUACGGCUAACGCGUUAAACAUUCCGCCUGGGGGCUACGGUCGCAAGAUUAAAACUCAAAGGAAUUGACGGGGACCCGCACAAGCGGUGGAGCAUGUGGUUUAAUUCGGUGCAACGCGAAAAACCUUACCACUCCUUGACAUGAAAAUCAUACCUAUUC
rnacentral:rRNA from 1 species